ACGGUGAACCGUUCAGCCGCGGCGGCCCCAAGAAAGCCCUCCGCGCUUAUGCGGGGGGCAUGGGCGCCGUCCGAGGAAAGUCCGGGCUCCGCAGGGCAUGAUGCCGGGUAACGCCCGGGCGGAAGGCGCGGAUCGGGCCGGGGGCCUGCCUCCGGCGCGAUAUCCCGCCUUUCGACAGACAGCGCAACAGAAAACAAACCGCGAAGGGGGGCUCCGGCCCUCCCCGCAAGGGUGAAACGGCGGGGCAAGAGCCCGCCGCGGCGCCGGCAACGGCGCCGGCACGGCAAGCCUCAUCAGGAGCAAAAUCAAGCGGCGCAACAAAAGCCCGUCUUUUGUGCCGGCUGCCCGCCGGCCAAGCGCAGGUAGAUUGCCGGGGGUUACCCCGGAGGCCGUCCGCAAGGCCGGCCCGAGACAGAUGGCUGAAGGGUCCCUAAGGCCCCGAUAACAGAACCCGGCUUACGGUUCACCGUUUUU
rnacentral:RNase_P_RNA from 1 species